ACGAACGCUGGCGGCGUGCCUAAUACAUGCAAGUCGAACGCUUCUUUCCUCCCGAGUGCUUGCACUCAAUUGGAAAGAGGAGUGGCGGACGGGUGAGUAACACGUGGGUAACCUACCCAUCAGAGGGGGAUAACACUUGGAAACAGGUGCUAAUACCGCAUAACAGUUUAUGCCGCAUGGCAUAAGAGUGAAAGGCGCUUUCGGGUGUCGCUGAUGGAUGGACCCGCGGUGCAUUAGCUAGUUGGUGAGGUAACGGCUCACCAAGGCCACGAUGCAUAGCCGACCUGAGAGGGUGAUCGGCCACACUGGGACUGAGACACGGCCCAGACUCCUACGGGAGGCAGCAGUAGGGAAUCUUCGGCAAUGGACGAAAGUCUGACCGAGCAACGCCGCGUGAGUGAAGAAGGUUUUCGGAUCGUAAAACUCUGUUGUUAGAGAAGAACAAGGACGUUAGUAACUGAACGUCCCCUGACGGUAUCUAACCAGAAAGGCACGGCUAACUACGUG
rnacentral:rRNA from 1 species